rnacentral:rRNA from 1 species
AGGAUGAACGCUGGCGGCGUGCUUAACACAUGCAAGUCGAACGAUGACUCUUGUGCUUGCACAAGAUGAUUAGUGGCGAACGGGUGAGUAACACGUGAGUAACCUGCCCCUGACUCUGGGAUAAGCCCGGGAAACUGGGUCUAAUACUGGAUAUGCACCGUAAGCCGCAUGGCUUUUGGUGGAAAGAUUUUUUGGUCAGGGAUGGACUCGCGGCCUAUCAGCUUGUUGGUGAGGUAAUGGCUCACCAAGGCGACGACGGGUAGCCGGCCUGAGAGGGUGACCGGCCACACUGGGACUGAGACACGGCCCAGACUCCUACGGGAGGCAGCAGUGGGGAAUAUUGCACAAUGGGCGAAAGCCUGAUGCAGCGACGCCGCGUGAGGGAUGACGGCCUUCGGGUUGUAAACCUCUUUCAGUAGGGAAGAAGCGAAAGUGACGGUACCUGCAGAAGAAGCGCCGGCUAACUACGUGCCAGCAGCCGCGGUAAUACGUAGGGCGCAAGCGUUAUCCGGAAUUAUUGGGCGUAAAGAGCUCGUAGGCGGUUUGUCGCGUCUGCCGUGAAAGUCCGAGGCUCAACCUCGGAUCUGCGGUGGGUACGGGCAGACUAGAGUGAUGUAGGGGAGACUGGAAUUCCUGGUGUAGCGGUGAAAUGCGCAGAUAUCAGGAGGAACACCGAUGGCGAAGGCAGGUCUCUGGGCAUUAACUGACGCUGAGGAGCGAAAGCAUGGGGGAGCGAACAGGAUUAGAUACCCUGGUAGUCCAUGCCGU